rnacentral:rRNA from 1 species
UACGAAGGGGGCUAGCGUUGCUCGGAAUCACUGGGCGUAAAGCGCACGUAGGCGGAUUUUUAAGUCAGGGGUGAAAUCCUGGAGCUCAACUCCAGAACUGCCUUUGAUACUGGGAAUCUCGAGUCCGGGAGAGGUGAGUGGAACUCCGAGUGUAGAGGUGAAAUUCGUAGAUAUUCGGAAGAAUACCAGUGGCGAAGGCGGCUCACUGGCCCGGUACUGACGCUGAGGUGCGAAAGCGUGGGGAGCAAACAGG